rnacentral:rRNA from 1 species
GACGAACGCUGGCGGCGUGCCUAAUACAUGCAAGUAGAACGCUGAAGGAGGAGCUUGCUUCUCCGGAUGAGUUGCGAACGGGUGAGUAACGCGUAGGUAACCUGCCUGGUAGCGGGGGAUAACUAUUGGAAACGAUAGCUAAUACCGCAUAAGAGUAGAUGUUGCAUGACAUUUGCUUAAAAGGUGCAAUUGCAUCACUACCAGAUGGACCUGCGUUGUAUUAGCUAGUUGGUGGGGUAACGGCCCACCAAGGCGACGAUACAUAGCCGACCUGAGAGGGUGAUCGCUCACACUGGGACUGAGACACGGCCCAGACUCCUACGGGAGGCAGCAGUAGGGAAUCUUCGGCAAUGGACGGAAGUCUGACCGAGCAACGCCGCGUGAGUGAAGAAGGUUUUCGGAUCGUAAAGCUCUGUUAAGAGAAGAACGAGUGUGAGAGUGGAAAGUUCACACUGUGA